GGUAUCCUACGGGGCGCAGCAGUGGGGAAUAUUGCACAAUGGGGGAAACCCUGAUGCAGCGACGCCGCGUGAGUGAAGAAGUAUUUCGGUAUGUAAAGCUCUAUCAGCAGGGAAGAAGAAGGACGGUACCUGAGUAAGAAGCCCCGGCUAACUACGUGCCAGCAGCCGCGGUAAUACGUAGGGGGCAAGCGUUGUUCGGAAUGACUGGGCGUAAAGGGUGUGUAGGCGGUGUAGCAAGUUAGAAGUGAAAUACCUAGAGCUUAACUCAGGUGCUGCUUCUAAAACUGCUAUACUUGAGUGCAGUA
rnacentral:rRNA from 1 species